ACAUACUCUGUUGGAUGUAAGUUCAUAUUAAACAGUAAGGUAUAAUGGCAGUAUUUGGUUGAAUUUGAUUAUCCAAAUUUGUUGGCUAAUGAAAAGAAAACACUGUCUAUUAGACUUUAAUGGACCCUCACUGGGCCUGAGCAUCAGGGAUUUUUGUGAAUUAAUUCCUAUAAUUCUUAGACACAUCGUAUCAACCUGCUAUUUCCAUUAACUGCUUAUGCAAAUAUGAAAGCAUCCUGAGAAGGUUAGUUGAACCAUAAAGCUUGAGGCUGAACUACGUAAUCACACUGCACGAUCUAAAUGUGUCGAGUUAAAACAGCAGCACUCUGUGGUGGAGAUUCUCAAAGUGAUGUAAACAAAAAAAAAAAAAAAAAACCAAAUUAGAGAAAAGUCUGGGUUUUUUUUGGAGCAAACCAGUCCUCAUGAAAUAACUUCUCACCAUGUUGUCCUGUUGCAUAAGGAUGAAACAGGACAUGGCUAAAAAUCCCACUAAUUACCUCCACAUUACUAGCUUUUACUACAGCCAGGCCUCCUGGAGAGCCAGAUAGACAAUCUGUGUCAUGGGGUCAGAGAGGCUGCAUGAAUAAAAACCGUCAGCGUGAAAAAGCUGCCGCUGCUCGUAGAAUCACAAGGUGCAGGCACGGAGGGAGCCUGGGCAUCCACGGGGGAACAAAAUGUAUAAUUUCAUUUUACCGAGAAACGAGGGAGGACAGCUCAGGUUUGACGAGGGGGAAGAAAAGAGCCAAAAGUCAAAACUUGGUGUUUUUUCUUGGUAGCUAAUGGUGUAUGUCAGGUUUAAAUUGAAAACGUGUUUCCAAAACAGGGCCACGCUGGUAAAAGCCUCGGGGAGGAAGCAGGAACAUUAAGACUGCUUUGCUGCCCAUAUUUUAGCGUAAUAUGCCAUAUGGUGCGCUGUUUUUCCUCCUCCAUUACACCCUGAUGAAUACUGAGAUCACUGGAAUGCAUUGGUUAUCCAUGUUUUUGAAACGUUACCCAUUCAUCGAAUUUAAAACGCUUGCUCUUUUAUUAAUCAUUAUC
ensembl:lncRNA